rnacentral:rRNA from 1 species
CCUACGGGGCGCAGCAGUAGGGAAUCUUUCACAAUGGGCGAAAGCCUGAUGGAGCAACGCCGCGUGCAGGAUGACGGCCUUCGGGUUGUAAACUGCUUUUAUAAGCGAGAAAUAUGAUGGUACCUUAUGACUACGGAUCGGCUAACUACGUGCCAGCAGCCGCGGUCAUACGUAGGAUCCGAGCAUUAUCCGGAGUGACUGGGGGUAAAGAGUUGCGUAGGUGGGAUAAUAAGUAGCUAGUGAAAUCUGGUGGUUCAACCAUUCAGACUAUUAGCUAAACUGUUAAGCUCGAGACCGUUAGGGGUAACUGGAAUGUCUAGUGUAGGAGUGAAAUCCGUAGAGAUUAGAAGGAACACCAAUAGCGUAGGCAGGUUGCUGGGACGGUUCUGACACUAAGGCACGAAAGCGUAGGGAGCAAACGGGAUUAGAUACCCGAGUAGUC